rnacentral:lncRNA from 1 species
AUGCAGGGACCUGCCACCAUCACCCUGGACACCUGGCCGUGCAGGGACCUGCCACCAUCAUCCCAGGUGCCCAGGUUGCCCCAGGGACCUACCACCAUCACCCUGGGCACCUGGCCAUGCAGGGACCUGCCACCAUCACCCUGGACACCUGGCCAUGCAGGGACCUGCCAGCAUCGCCCCAGGCACGUUGGUUUUCCGGUGAGGAAGAGGGUGGUCUGCGCCUGGUGUCCUCUCGCAGUCCUUGUCCGCGACCCCCAUCCCCUGGCGCCCCCCAAUCGGCAGCGCUUCCCGCGCCCCGUCGCAAGGGGAGCAGGGCUCCCCCCAGUCCCCGUCCCGCCGUGGACCCGGCACACUCACUGCACUGAGAUCAUUCCCGAAGGAUCUGCUGAUCGCGCCGCGGAUUUGACGGCAACGAGCUCCUCCCCGCGUUGCUUUUCCUUCAAUAAACGGCCUUUCCCGGGCUCCGGGCUCUCCUCCGCGCUCCCGCCAUCCCCGGGGCGCCGGGCCCCACCGAUGCUCCCAGCUCCCGGCUCGUUCUGCCCCGGCAGGAGACAGGGGGUGUCUGCCGGGGCCGGAGCCUGGGGACAUCGGGGACGUCCCCAGCCGGGGCCCGGCACAGAGCCCAGGGCCCCCGUGCAGCCCCCGCGCCUGCCGGGUGCCAGCGCUGAG